rnacentral:rRNA from 1 species
AUGCAGAAUUACGACAAAGUGAAAACCCACCUAAGAUGUGAUGGUAUUCUUCAGGGUUAUACAAAAUGGGUUUGCCAUGGAGAAGAGUAUGAUUCACCGUCAUUUGCAUUUGCUCCCAUGUCAAAUAACAACAACAAUUUUCAUAUUCCAGGUUUUCCAGUGAAUUCUGAUGUAGAAGGCAGUAAUAGAAGAUUGCAUGACAUUUCUGGGCUCUUAAGUGCCAUUUUCCCCAUGGCUGACAGCUUCCAAUCACUAUCAAGCGCAUCUGAUGGGGAACUAGAUGGUGUUCAGUCUGAAUUUGAGAACUUGGAACCUGGUAUGGCUGAGAAUGUCAAUACAACAUCUGCAGAUGAUGAUGCAAUGAGAGAACAAGACAUAUACGCUAGUUUCCUCGAGGAAGCAAACACAGAUUUAUACCCUGGAUGUGCAACAUAUUCGAGGUUGUCAUUUCUUGUCACUUUAUAUCACAUGAAAGUCUUGCAUGGAUGGUCACAGGAAUCAUUCACACAGCUACUUGGUGUAUUAUCGGUUGCAUUUCCUCAGAUAAACCUACCCAAGAAAUAUUAUGAGGUGAAAAAAAGCAUACGCGGAUUAGGGCUGGGCUAUGAGAAAAUGCAUGCAUGCCCAAGAGACUGCAUGCUUUUUAGAGGCAAAAGAGCUAACCAGGAGUCUUGCCAUGUGUGUGGUGCCUCUCGUUGGGUUACCAAUGAAAAUGAGAAGAAAGAUUCGGCAACUGAAUCUAAAAAGAAGAAGAAGAAGAAGAAGAAGAAGAAGAAACCAGCCAAGGUGUUGCGAUAUUUCCCAUUGAGUCCAAGGCUCCAAAGGUUAUUUGCAACCAAGAAGACAUCAACUGACAUGCGUUGGCAUGAUGAGGGUCGUACAAAAGAUGGAUUGCUGCGAUGUCCAGCUGAUGGAGAGGCUUGGAAAGAUCUUGAUGCCAGAUAUCCUGAAUUCGCUGAGGAUCCCCGUAAUGCGCGGCUAGGCGUUGGGUCUGAUGGCUUUAAUCCUUUCCGACUCAUGAGUGCAAAACAUAGUACUUGGCCAGUGAUGCUUAUUCCAUACAACCUACCACCUUGGAUCUGCAUGAAGCAAACAUCUCUAAUUUUAUCAAUGAUUAUUCCUGGACCAAGUUCCCCUGGCAAUGAUAUUGAUGUAUAUUUGCAGCCGUUGGUGGAUGAGCUGCAACAACUUUGGAAGGGUGUGGACACUUUUGAUUCAUGUACCCAGGAGAAAUUUUCUCUUCGAGCUGCACUAUUAUGGACUUUGAAUGAUUUUCCAGCAUUAGCUUACCUCUAUGGGUGGAGCACGAGCGGUAAAUAUGCUUGCCCGUCUUGUGGUCCUUUCACAAGAUCAUAUUGGCUAAAGAAGAGUAAGAAAUUUUGUUAUAUGGGUCAUCGCCGACGGCUAACACAGAAUCAUGUAUUUCGGAGACGAAAGAAGGAGUUUGAUAACACCAAAGAGAUGGAACUUGCACCUAUAACAAUGAGUGGUAGCUCAGCUUUGAGAAUGUUGUAG